UUUUGCUCACUUUGGCAAGACAUAUACUAAAAUUGGGCCAAUACAGAGAAGAUUAGCAUGGCCCUUACGUGACAAGCAAAGCUGAUGACAAGCAAAUUCAU
rnacentral:snRNA from 1 species